rnacentral:rRNA from 1 species
GUCUACGGCCAUACCACCCUGAAUAUGCCCGAUCUCGUCUGACCUCGGAAGCUAAGCAGGGUUGGUCGGGCCCGGUUAGUACUUGGAUGGGAGAAGUAGCCAGAAAUCAAGAGAAAUGGGCU